rnacentral:rRNA from 1 species
UACGGAGGGUGCGAGCGUUGUCCGGAAUCACUGGGCGUAAAGCGCGCGUAGGUGGCUUUGUAAGUCGGAUGUGAAAUCCCCGGGCUCAACCUGGGAACUGCAUUCGAAACUGCAUUGCUAGAGUAUGGAAGAGGGAAGUGGAAUUUCCGGUGUAGCGGUGAAAGGCGUAGAUAUCGGAAGGAACACCAGUGGCGAAAGCGACCUCCUGGUCCAAUACUGACACUCAAGUGCGAAAGCGUGGGGGGCAAACAGG